CAGAGUUAUCCAACUCAUCAAACCCAUGUGAACUUAUCCUAACUUUGUUGCUUCGGCGGGCAAGCUACCCGGGACCCUCGUCCCACGGGCGCCCGCCGGCGACAAGGACCCUAAACUCUGUUUUUAUAAUUGUUUUAUCUGAGUGUAACUUAAGUUAAUAAUUCA
rnacentral:misc_RNA from 1 species